rnacentral:rRNA from 1 species
AGUGAACGCUGGCGGUAGGCCUAACACAUGCAAGUCGAACGGCAGCACAGUAAGAGCUUGCUCUUACGGGUGGCGAGUGGCGGACGGGUGAGGAAUACAUCGGAAUCUACUUUUUCGUGGGGGAUAACGUGGGGAAACUUACGCUAAUACCGCAUACGACCUACGGGUGAAAGCAGGGGAUCUUCGGACCUUGCGCGAUUGAAUGAGCCGAUGUCGGAUUAGCUAGUUGGCGGGGUAAAGGCCCACCAAGGCGACGAUCCGUAGCUGGUCUGAGAGGAUGAUCAGCCACACUGGAACUGAGACACGGUCCAGACUCCUACGGGAGGCAGCAGUGGGGAAUAUUGGACAAUGGGCGCAAGCCUGAUCCAGCCAUACCGCGUGGGUGAAGAAGGCCUUCGGGUUGUAAAGCCCUUUUGUUGGGAAAGAAAAGCAGCAGGUUAAUACCCCGCUGUUCUGACGGUACCCAAAGAAUAAGCCCCGGCUAACUUCGUG